UACGUAGGGGGCAAGCGUUGUCCGGAUUUAUUGGGCGUAAAGAGCGUGUAGGCGGCCUGAAAGGUCAGCUGUGAAAACUCGAGGCUCAACCUCGAGACGUCGGUUGAAACCAUCUGGCUAGAGUCCGGAAGAGGAGUGUGGAAUUCCCGGUGUAGCGGUGAAAUGCGCAGAUAUCGGGAAGAACACCCGUGGCGAAGGCGGCACUCUGGGACGGUACUGACGCUGAGACGCGAAAGCGUGGGGAGCGAGCAGG
rnacentral:rRNA from 1 species